rnacentral:rRNA from 1 species
ACGGAAUAGAUACCCAGGUAGUCCCAGCUGUAAACGAUGCAGGCUAGGUGUUUGGACGGCCACGUGCCGUUCUAGUGCCGCAGGGAAGCUGUUAAGCCUGCCGCCUGGGGAGUACGAUCGCAAGAUUGAAACUUAAAGGAAUUGGCGGGGGAGCACCACAAGGGGUGAAGCUUGCGGUUUAAUUGGAGUCAACGCCGGAAAUCUCACCGGGAGCGGCAGCAGUGUGAAGGCCAGAUUAAAGGUCUUGCCAGACGAGCUGAGAGGAGGUGCAUGGCCGUCGCCAGUUCGUGCCGUGAGGUGUCCUGUUAAGUCAGGCAACGAUCGAGACCCGCAUCCUCUGUUGCAACCAGUUUUGCGCUGGGCACACUGAGGAGACCGCCACUGAUAAAGUGGAGGAAGGAGCGGGCCACGGCAGGUCAGUAUGCCCCGAAUCUCCGGGCCACACGCGAGCUGCAAUGGCAGGUACAAUGGUUCCGACCUCGAAAGGGGAAGGCAAUCUCGAAAACCUGCCGUAGUUGGGAUUGAGGGUU